CUGCCUAAACCUGCAUCCCGAACGAGACCUUCCGGUCUAGUGGCGUUCCGGUGCGUAACGCGUGGGAAUCUGCCCUUGGGUUCGGGAUAACAGUUGGAAACGACUGCUAAUACCGGAUGAUGACUUCGGUCCAAAGAUUUAUCGCCCAAGGAUGAGCCCGCGUCGGAUUAGCUAGUUGGUGAGGUAAAAGCUCACCAAGGCGACGAUCCGUAGCUGGUCUGAGAGGAUGAUCAGCCACACUGGGACUGAGACACGGCCCAGACUCCUACGGGAGGCAGCAGUGGGGAAUAUUGGACAAUGGGCGAAAGCCUGAUCCAGCAAUGCCGCGUGAGUGAUGAAGGCCUUAGGGUUGUAAAGCUCUUUUACCCGGGAUGAUAAUGACAGUACCGGGAGAAUAAGCCCCGGCUAACUCCGUGCCAGCAGCCGCGGUAAUACGGAGGGGGCUAGCGUUGUUCGGAAUUACUGGGCGUAAAGCGCGCGUAGGCGGCUUUGUAAGUUAGAGGUGAAAGCCCGGAGCUCAACUCCGGAACUGCCUUUAAGACUGCAUCGCUUAGAAUUGUGGAGAGGUGAGUGGAAUUCCCAGUGUAGAGGUGAAAUUCGUAGAUAUUCGGGAAGAACACCAGUGGCGAAGGCGACUCAUUGGACACAUAUUGACCCUGAAGUUGCAAAGCGUGGGGAGCAAA
rnacentral:rRNA from 1 species